GAGUGGCGGACGGGUGAGUAACGCGUGGGUAACCUGCCUCGUACAGGGGGAUAACAGUUAGAAAUGACUGCUAAUACCGCAUAAGCGCACAGUGCUGCAUGGCACAGUGUGAAAAACUCCGGUGGUAUGAGAUGGACCCGCGUCUGAUUAGCUAGUUGGUGGGGUAACGGCCUACCAAGGCGACGAUCAGUAGCCGGCCUGAGAGGGUGAACGGUCACAUUGGGACUGAGACACGGCCCAAACUCCUACGGGAGGCAGCAGUGGGGAAUAUUGCACAAUGGGGGAAACCCUGAUGCAGCGACGCCGCGUGAGCGAAGAAGUAUUUCGGUAUGUAAAGCUCUAUCAGCAGGGAAGAAAAUGACGGUACCUGACUAAGAAGCACCGGCUAAAUACGUGCCAGCAGCCGCGGUAAUACGUAUGGUGCAAGCGUUAUCCGGAUUUACUGGGUGUAAAGGGAGCGUAGACGGUUGUGUAAGUCUGAUGUGAAAGCCCGGGGCUCAACCCCGGGACUGCAUUGGAAACUAUGUAACUAGAGUGUCGGAGAGGUAAGCGGAAUUCCUAGUGUAGCGGUGAAAUGCGUAGAUAUUAGGAGGAACACCGGUGGCGAAGGCGGCUUACUGGACGAUCACUGACGUUGAGGCUCGAAAGCGUGGGGAGCAAACAGGAUUAGAUACCCUGGUAGUCCACGCCGUAAACGAUGACUACUAGGUGUCGGGGAGCAAAGCUCUUCGGUGCCGCAG
rnacentral:rRNA from 1 species